CCAACUACAGGUAUGCGGUAGAACCCUGCGGUGUAGGAGACCGGAGUGGGCGUCAGAUGGUCAUUAGACUGAGGUGGAUGGCUCACCAGGAUGGCGUACACCUGCGAACAGGAUCACAGAACUGGUUUAUAUACAAAUACAGAGAGACCCUCCGGCACUGGCUCCAUCUGUCAUUGAAUGUCUCCUCUUCAGAGUGGGCAGAGAUGUCAGUGAGCCAAAGGCGAUACAGACAGAGCGAUACAGCAGUUUCGCAUGGAGGAAUCUCACACAACCAAAUUAAUUCAGCAAUUAUCUUGACAUUCUGCUAACAAGCUGCACAACCUUAGGGCCCAAAUUUGUUAAAGGCUGGUAUUGGUUUAAGAAGAAACAUUUCUGUUCUGGUGUGUCCUAGAUGUCAACUGCAGACCUACAUGAUGUGUUUCUCAUGUAUGUGAAUCCCCAUCAGGACCAUCUGCCAGUGCUUGGACAUGAGUCAUUACAGAAGGUGAUAUAAAAGCAGAUGUUAGGUGAGUUACCUCCUGCUUCUUUAUUGCCAGAUCAGCAGUCCCAAGGUCAGAAGCUACACUCAGAGCCACAGUACGUCAGAGGCGCUUUAAAAAACUUGUCCUACUUCCAAAGUACAUGUGACUCAAAGCAACAUCACAGACACUGCCUGAAGUUAAAAACCUCUUGUGUUGUGCUGUGCACCUGAGAUGUCCUCAUGUCUAUAAAGAAACUUAAAAAGAGUGGCAUUGUAUGACUGCUGAUCUGUUUAAUGUGAAAACUCUCUGAGCUACACAGUCCAGUUCAAAUAUAUUUACAGUGCACAGCAUAAAUGAGUACAUCCCCU